ensembl:lincRNA
CUGGGUCAGUAGCUCCUCUCCAGAGUGAGUCCAUCAGUGGAAUGCCAUGCCCCUUCUCUAUCCCGUCUUUGCAAGUGGGCUUGGGUUCUUGGGAUGAGUUUCAUCAGGCCUUAUACAUGCAGACUGUGAAGAGGUGCCUCCAACAAGAAAAACCAAUGUCUGGCAAGUCCUCUAAGGGCAGGGAUUCUGGAGAGGCCGCCCUAUCCUCAGCUUGGCCCUGGCACAUUCUGGCUGCAGAGAAAAUACUGACUGUGAAGAGCCGAGAAAGAUGACAUGAUGAAGCCAUCAGGGGAGGCACCAAACAUCCUCAACUCUGCUUACCUAUGGUUUUCUCCAGCCCUCCCAGAGCUCCUCCUGCGUGAGUAAUGCAGUGUGUGCUGGUCAAGUGUCUCACUGAAAAAAGAAAGAAACCCUGAUUUGCAGCAUUGGCCAAUUCCUGUAGUGUAAAUACUCCCACCAUGGCAGAUUUCAGGUUACCAAGGGUUUCACAACUGGUUCACAAGUCUUGACUGUAAUGACCAGCUCAUGCAACUCCAGCACCUCAUCAUCUCCGCCCUGUCCCAGAAAAUCCCCACAUCACACCCAGGCUGAAUGUCACUUUCAGCUUCUCAGUCAGAAGGAGAAGUGGUUAAAUAUACCAGGAUGCUAAUGACUAAGUAUCAGAAUGGUGAGUGUGGAGGGUCAGGAUGUCUGCCAAAUUGGAGAUGACUCUUCACUUCUCAAUCUUGGUGUCUCAUCUGGGGAAGUUGGAGGGAGACAUGCACAGCUUCUCAUGAACAGUCCUGGAAGCCCUUACCCCAAGGCCUCACGGGGCUCUCUCCAGGGCUUGCUCUUUCUCACUCUCUACUUUAAAAGCCUAUGAUUCAUUGCCAGAGAACAGAAGGCUCCAUCCUAAUGGGCCAAGUUGAAAACGGCGGGAUUGGGAGCUGUCUAGACUCUAGGUCCUGCCUUUUGUUUUGGCUGGUGUCAAAAUGGACUCUAGAAACUGGCCUCAGGAAGAUUUCCCAUCGAACAACCAAAGACUGAACAGCCUGGACUGACCUUUUUCUAAUUUUUAGGGGUCUUGUGAACAAGAGUCAGGUGGGCAGACAGCUCUUGUAAAGCUAAGUGUAACUAAAUUUGUCCAUAGCCUGUGACAGCAAAGAUCACAAAACUCUUCCUUCCCCUUUAGGGCCUGGGAGUGACGCCAAGUGACGCCGAACUGAGGGGAGAAUGGUGACCUAUUUUAUCUCCCAAACAUUGGGCAGUCAGUUGCAUUUGCAGAUUUAAAAUCCACCCACUCUGCUGCAGUUUCUGUUCUCGUGCCCCCCAGGCAUACUUAUGGCUGGAGCUGGUUUUGUAAAGUGGAGUUGGCCGUGGGUGUGGGAGUCCUCCUCGGACAGCCUGGUCUGACAGCCCCAGUCCACAGCCCUCCCAUGGGCUUUUGGGCUGCUCCAGUCCUGGCAGGUGCACAGCGCAGGGGAAUCUGGUUUUGUCCUGGUCUCAGCUGGGGAAGUCUAGUUAAAGAAAGAAAAGGUCAGCCGGGUGCAGUGGCUCACACCUGUAAUCUCAGAACUUUGGGAGGCUGAGAUGGGCAAAUCACGAGGUCAGGAGUUUGAGACCAGCCUGGCCAACAUGGCGAAACCCUGUCUCUACUAAAAAUACAAAAAUUAGCUGGGCGUGGUGGCGGAUGCCUGUAAUCCUAGCUACUCGGGAGGCUGAGGCAGGAGAAUCGCUUGAAACCGGAAGGUGGAGGUUGCAGUGAGCUGAGGACCCACCACUGCACUCCAGCCUGGGCAACAAGAGCGAAACUCUGUCUCCAAAAAAAAAAGAUCUCAGUGGAAAUGGCCUUGAAUCUGGGGUCUCUGUAAUAUUCCAAUCACUCAAUCACUUAACAAAUAUUUAUUGAGGGCCUACUAGGUGCCACACAUUGGAAGACAGUGGAGGGUGAAACAGAGUCUGCCCUCAGGGAGCUUACAGUUUAGAUUACAGGCAAGACAGUGCUUACACAUGUAAUUCCAGAUGAGUCAAUAAUGACAGGGGUGCAGAGGCUUUGAAGCAGAAACAUAAGAUGCAAUGGAAACAUAAAACAGGGAAGCCUAAUGCAGACUAAGGGGCCUGAGGAGGGUUCCUCGAGAAAGUGAGGUUGAAGCUGAGAACCUGAGGGGUGGUUUGCAUGCAGUACAAUUGAAGGUUGAAAGGGAAGAUCUUCCAAUGCACAAAGAAUUUAUGCUGCAGAAACAUUCUCUUCCUGAAGAUACAUUUGGGAAUGUAGGUAGAAAUUAACUGUCUUGCCUUCAUAUACAGUGUAGUGGAGACCACUGUGGAUCUCCAGCUGUUUGUCUUUUCUUAGUGACAAGUCCCCAGUUUUUGCUAGGUACAUAGCUACCCAGAGAAAAAAUUAUGUGGCCACCUUACUAUGCUCCAGCCAAUGAGAUGUCAGCAGAGGUAAUAUGCGGGGCCUCUGAGAAGGCUCUUUUCUGCUACCUGGUACCUGGCUGGAGGCUGAAAAGCCAUUAGGGACCAUGAAGAGACAUGCUAAGGUUGGAGAGUCAGCGUAUUACAUGGAACCUCCUUCUCUGAUGGCCAUGGGCUGUGAUACGAGCCCUGGAUUGCCUAUUUCCCGACUUCUUUUGUAAAAGUGAGAAAUAAAGGUCAAUUUUUUAAAAAGC